rnacentral:rRNA from 1 species
GCCAGACUCCUACGGGAGGCAGCAGUGGGGAAUAUUGCACAAUGGAGGAAACUCUGAUGCAGCGAUGCCGCGUGAGGGAAGAAGGUUUUCGGAUUGUAAACCUCUGUCUUAAGGGACGAUAAUGACGGUACCUUAGGAGGAAGCUCCGGCUAACUACGUGCCAGCAGCCGCGGUAAUACGUAGGGAGCGAGCGUUGUCCGGAAUUACUGGGUGUAAAGGGAGUGUAGGCGGGAUGGUAAGUUAGGUGUGAAAUGCGGAGGCUCAACCUCCGAGCUGCACUUAAAACUGCUGUUCUUGAGUGAAGUAGAGGUUGGCGGAAUUCCCAGUGUAGCGGUGAAAUGCGUAGAUAUUGGGAGGAACAUCAGUGGCGAAGGCGGCCAACUGGGCUUUUACUGACGCUGAGGCUCGAAAGCGUGGGGAGCAAACAGGAUUAGAUACCCUUGUA